rnacentral:rRNA from 1 species
GACGAACGCUGGCGGCGUGCUUAACACAUGCGAGUCGAACGGAAAGGCCCUGCUUUUGUGGGGUGCUCGAGUGGCGAACGGGUGAGUAACACGUGAGUAACCUGCCCUUGACUUUGGGAUAACUUCAGGAAACUGGGGCUAAUACCGGAUAGGAGCUCCUGCUGCAUGGUGGGGGUUGGAAAGUUUCGGCGGUUGGGGAUGGACUCGCGGCUUAUCAGCUUGUUGGUGGGGUAGUGGCUUACCAAGGCUUUGACGGGUAGCCGGCCUGAGAGGGUGACCGGCCACAUUGGGACUGAGAUACGGCCCAGACUCCUACGGGAGGCAGCAGUGGGGAAUAUUGCACAAUGGGCGGAAGCCUGAUGCAGCAACGCCGCGUGCGGUAUGACGGCCUUCGGGUUGUAAACCGCUUUCGCCUGUGACGAAGCGUGAGUGACGGUAAUGGGUAAAGAAGCACCGGCUAACUACGU